rnacentral:lncRNA from 1 species
AUGAGUGUUGUAUUUAUUCCUCCACAAAUUAAACAGUGCUUGCCAAGGACCUGCUAUGCGCCAGGGGCUGCUGGAGCUGGGAACCUAAUGAUCACAGUGUCAGCCUCUGCCAGCCUUUGUGUGUGUGGCAGGGGUUGUUUUGAGUCCCACCAUCUUCCAUCCCUGAUGCUUGGAGAAGCUGAGGACACACAGGAGAGUCCUGGUGGACCUGAGAUUUUGGGAAGAUGCAGACAUACCAAACCCUAG